rnacentral:rRNA from 1 species
UACGGAGGGGGCUAGCGUUGUUCGGAAUUACUGGGCGUAAAGCGCACGUAGGCGGCUUUGUAAGUUAGAGGUGAAAGCCCGGAGCUCAACUCCGGAAUUGCCUUUAAGACUGCAUCGCUAGAAUUGUGGAGAGGUGAGUGGAAUUCCGAGUGUAGAGGUGAAAUUCGUAGAUAUUCGGAUGAACACCAGUGGCGAAGGCGGCUCACUGGUCCGGUACUGACGCUGAGGUGCGAAAGCGUGGGGAGCAAACAGG